rnacentral:rRNA from 1 species
GAUGAACGCUGGCGGCGUGCUUAACACAUGCAAGUCGAACGAGAAGUCAACGGAUUGAGGAUUCGUCCAAAUGAAGCUGAGGAAAGUGGCGGGCGGGUGAGUAACGCGUGAGGAACCUGCCUUUCAGUGGGGGACAACAGUUGGAAACGACUGCUAAUACCGCAUAAUGUCAUUUGGGGGCAUCCCUGGAUGACCAAAGAUUUAUUGCUGAAAGAUGGCCUCGCGUCUGAUUAGCUGGUUGGCGAGGUAACGGCCCACCAAGGCGACGAUCAGUAGCCGGACUGAGAGGUUGACCGGCCACAUUGGGACUGAGAUACGGCCCAG